rnacentral:lncRNA from 1 species
CAAAGUGAAAGAAUAAUCAACAACAGACAGAAGGAAACCCAAUGAGAAAUUGAAAUCGACUCGCCCACACGCGACCCAGCAUGCGUAAAUUAAAACGAACGGGUAACGAAGCUAACACUGUAAAUCAAAAAUGCAAAAAAACUUAUUUCGGGUCGUUACCCCUAUCAAUCAAAUUUCGGCAAUCUAGUGAGCUUGUUGGAAAUGCUUGAAAUGGAAGCGCAGCUUACAAACAAAUGAACAUUUAACAAAUGCAACCGAUUGGAAAUCAAAAUCCAGAUGGUAGCUAUCACCAACAGUACAAUAUCAAGCUAAUAGUAAUGCAAACCGUUACCAUAAUGCUGAAUCAAUGUUGAAGCCCUGGAUAGAAGUUGAGUUGAUGAAAGGGUUGAUCGAAGUUACUCGCUUGGUGCCGUUUGAAUGCUAGGUCACGGUCCGGAGCUGGGAACCAAAAACCACGAAUCUAACCUCACUGAGUCAUGGUGCCGUUUGAAUGCUAGGUCACGGUCCGGAGCUGGGAACCAAAAACCACGAAUCUAACCUCACUGAGUCGAAUUUUGGAUCGAUAAAGAAUGGCCUCUCUGCUUUAGUGAAUCAAUCGUGAGUGACCUCCAUAUUUGAGCAAGAAUGAAUGACGGUUGUGUGCGUUUUGUCGGCGGAGUAAAAGAGUUGCAGUAGCGGAU